AUGAACGCUGGCGGCGUGCCUAAUACAUGCAAGUCGAGCGAACAGACGAGGAGCUUGCUCCUCUGACGUUAGCGGCGGACGGGUGAGUAACACGUGGAUAACCUACCUAUAAGACUGGGAUAACUUCGGGAAACCGGAGCUAAUACCGGAUAAUAUAUUGAACCGCAUGGUGCAAUAGUGAAAGACGGUUUUGCUGUCACUUAUAGAUGGAUCCGCGCCGCAUUAGCUAGUUGGUAAGGUAACGGCUUACCAAGGCAACGAUGCGUAGCCGACCUGAGAGGGUGAUCGGCCACACUGGAACUGAGACACGGUCCAGACUCCUACGGGAGGCAGCAGUAGGGAAUCUUCCGCAAUGGGCGAAAGCCUGACGGAGCAACGCCGCGUGAGUGAUGAAGGUCUUCGGAUCGUAAAACUCUGUUAUUAGGGAAGAACAAAUGUGUAAGUAACUAUGCACGUCUUGACGGUACCUAAUCAGAAAGCCACGGCUAACUACGU
rnacentral:rRNA from 1 species